rnacentral:rRNA from 1 species
GACGAACGCUGGCGGCGGGCUUAACACAUGCAAGUCGAACGAGAAGCAGCCUUCGGGUUGUGGAUAGUGGCGCACGGGUGAGUAACGCGUAGGCAACCUACCCUCAGGUGGGGAAUAACCACGGGAAACCGUGGCUAAUACCGCAUAAUGUUUUUGGAUCGCAUGAUCCGUUAAUCAAAGCUUUAUGUGUCUGAGGAUGGGCCUGCGUAGGAUUAGGUAGUUGGUGAGGUAACGGCUCACCAAGCCUACGAUCCUUAGCUGGUCUGAGAGGAUGAUCAGCCACACUGGCACUGAGACACGGGCCAG